rnacentral:rRNA from 1 species
ACGGAGGAUGCGAGCGUUAUCCGGAUUCAUUGGGUUUAAAGGGUGCGUAGGCGGACUAUUAAGUCAGUGGUGAAAUCUUGCAGCUUAACUGCAGAACUGCCAUUGAUACUGAUAGCCUUGAGUUUGGUUAAGGUAGGCGGAAUGUGUAAUUUAGCAGUGUAAAGCUUAUAUCCUGCAGAGAACACCCGUGGCGUAGGCUUCUUACCAAGUCAACUCCGACGCUGAUUGACGAAAGCUUGUGGAUCGAACCG